ACAUGCCUACAACAUAGGGUUAAUGCUCAGGAUCCCAUUAGAACUUCGUAGUUAAGCACGCUCAGGUAGAGUAGUACUGGGAUGGGUGAUUGCUCGGGAAUUCCUAUUGUUUUACAUGCC
rfam:Picea glauca, whole genome shotgun sequence.